ensembl:lncRNA
GUCUAUUUUCUAACAAUGUAGCCAGUCUUUUUGGGGGUUGUCUAUUUUCAAACAAUGAAGCCAGUCUUUUUGGGGGUUGUCUAUUUUCUAACAAUGAAGCCAGUCUUUUUGGGGGUUGUCUAUUUUCUAACAAUGAGUCUUUUUGGGGGUUGUCUAUUUUCUAACAAUGAGGCCAGUCUUUUUGGGGGGAUUGUCUAUUUUCUAACAAUUAGUCUUUUUGAGGGGGUUGUCUAUUUUCUAACAAUUAGUCUUUUUGAGGGGGUUGUCUAUUUUCUAACAAUGUAGCCAAUUUUCAAACAAUGUAGCCAGUCUUUUUGGGGGGUUGUCUAUUUUCUAACAAUGUAGCCAGUCUUUUGGGGGGUUGUCUAU